rnacentral:rRNA from 1 species
GUCCACGCCGUAAACGAUGGGCACUAGGUGUUGGGGUGUUGACUCCCUCAGUGCCGUAGCUAACGCAUUAAGUGCCCCGCCUGGGGAGUACGGUCGCAAGACUAAAACUCAAAGGAAUUGACGGGGCCCGCACAAGCAGUGGAGCAUGUGGCUUAAUUCGACGCAACGCGAAGAACCUUACCAGGGCUUGACAUGUAUGUGUUACCGAUCCGAAAGGUGAGGGGACCUUCGGGAGCAUACACAGGUGGUGCAUGGCUGUCGU